UGCUGUAAAAAGGGUGUUGUGUGCUGAAAGGUGGACAGCCUUUCUCCCUAAACAGAACAGACAUGCAUGAGGAAAUAGUGCAGCCUUUCCAGAAUACUUAUUUUUGCCCAACAUCAGUCUUCUAUGAAAUCAGAAAACCUCCUAGAUCCUUAUCUAAAUAAAUGACCACAAGUUCAAGUCUGCUUCCUUCAGGGCCAUCGUCAGCAACUUCACAGGGCCAGGUUCCUUACCCUCAGGCUUUUCAAACCAGCCUUGCUACUCUGUUGUCUCUUCCCAAGCCAUGCACUUUGGUAUCUGAUCAUCUCACAGGUGGUCUUAGGUUUAGAGGACACUUUCCUGGACUACAUACCUGUUCCUUCACACUCAGACACUAUCCCUUUGAACACAUGAACUCCAGCAGGAGUCAAAGAGAAGCCCAAGAAAUGCUUGUAGUGAAAGAGCUUUCAUUGCUGAAUUCACAAUUUCCUGCUCAGUCUCAGUCCUUAUCACCUGUGAUUUCGGGAGCCGGGAGAAGAAUGUGACCCCAGGAGAACAAGAGGGCAAAGCUGCUGACCAUUCACUCCCGUUCCACUACAAUCAGAGUGAAAGAGAAGAGAUGAAACAAACUGUGCUUCACUAAGUAUGUAGCUCAGAUAAAAACCCGAUCCAGGACACUGAAAGCAACAGUAUACUGUGUUCAGUGAAAUUUAAAAAGUCUUCUUGUACAGCUUGACUGUUUUUCUAUUGUGCAGCCAAAGUCUCUCUCUUGAGCAUAGAGAAGAGGCUGGAUACUGCAUGCACACAACCCUACCUCUAUAAGGCUUCUACCUUCUGCUGCAAAAGGGAGCAUCACGGUAAUAUCCUUGAGUGUCUGGGUUUGAAAUUUCAGACAGAGCCA